CUUCUACUGACUGCGUGUACUCGAAAAAUUCCACUUGCCUUUCGACCGAGUUUUUCCAGUCAUUGGCGGCAGUUGGACUCCGGGGAAUCAAAUUCGGGUCGCUAGACAGUGCGUACGCCGCUAUAGGAUUUUGAUCAGAUAGUCUGCACCUUCACGAGGAUGUACCUUUUUAAUACUUGGUUAGCCAAGAAAGCAGACAGAAAUUCAGAAGAAAUCCGUGAAAUCUUAGCCGAGUUGACAGCUACUUUGCCCAACUUGGAAAACCGUGUCUCCUAUUUUUAUCAAAACUAGUAGCUAAGCACCAGGAAUGGCUUAACAUGACAGAAACUUGUGAACUUUCGCUUGCCCAACCUAUUCUGCUGCAUGAAGUGGUAGAAAUCCAGCAGGUCCUUGACGAUCAAGAGCCGUCAACAAGCAACCCAAAAAGAUUUUUGAAAGAGUUUGAAGAGUAUAGUGAACGAUCUAAACGCCAAAGAUUGUCGGAGUUAUCUAAAGUAGAUAAUUCUGCAAUUAAAUAUUUAAAAGAAGAUCAGUCCAAAACCACCAGUUCGCAGAUCAAUGUAGAUGAAAUACUUUCUCUUUUUGUUGAAGCUAAGUUGACCAGGCAUCAACAUACAUUAAAUUAAGAUUUUGUUAAUUCAAAAAUGGCCUCAAAUGUCUUUCCUUCAUAUCACAAAGUUCUGAAGGCAAAGAAAAAGUGCUAACCUGUUUGUGACAUCCCAUGUUUCUCUCCAACUAGUUUUCCAAUUAGCAACUUCAGAAAAUGUUAUUCUGUGGAAGGAAGCUAAAGAACUCUCUUUGCAAGAAGAAGCGUAUUUUGAAGACAAAAUUAAAAAUUUGAGGCCAACAAUCUUUAAAUAUGGUGAUCGUGAAGAAAAGGUUCAACAAAGUAUGUUGCUCCUUAGCGGAAAUAUCGUCAAGUAAGUGUUACAUUUGCAAGGCUACACCUAAAGAAAUAAACGAUAUUGAAGUAUGUUCAAGCAAAACUGUCGAUACCAACAAUUUUCGUUUUGGUUUAUUUCCCCUUCACUCAUGGAUUAGGUUUAUUGAAUAUUUUAACACCUUUUAUGCAAGCUAGAUUUUAAAAAGUGGCAAGCUAGAUUGCAAAAUGAAAGGGUACUUCUUGCAGAGAAAAAAUCGCGGAUGCAAAAAGAUUUUAGGGAAAAGUUGAGCUUAAGUGGAGGAAAUGGGACAACAAACGAUGGUAAUACUGCGAGAUUUUUUACAAGUUAUGAAGUUUCAGUUGAAAUAACUGGUUUGGAUAAAAACCUUACCAAGCGAUGUUGUUUUCUUUUGGAGGUUUCUUGGGCUCUGGCUAUAAAAUUAAUUCUAUAAAAUAUCAGAAUUACGCUUAGGAUCAGCAAAAGACCUUGUAAAAAAUUAUCCGUGGUAUUACCUACCUGCCUCCGGAAUUCUCGUGCACGGAUCUAAAGUUAUUGAAAAUGCACUUCUAUCGACAGGGGAACUUUCGGAGGAAGCUGCAGAAUCUUCAAAUAAAAAUCUUAAGUUAUGUAGGCGUGAAAAUAAAAGAAAAAUGUCUCGUGUUCUUACUAACACACGAAUGCUUUUAAAUUCGACCCUUCUAUUUCUAGUUUAACCUAAAAGCAGUAAGUCCAUUUUAUUACCUGAAGUUUUUGAUUUAUUAGAAUUAGAAUAACAGCUAAAUCAAGCAACACGACAACUCAUUAUAAAAUGGUAAUCCCGUACCCCUUUUUUUAAUGAUAUAAAAGAUCUUUUUAUAGUGAAUUUUACUUCUGAAAUUAGCAGCCAUAAAUGAUUAUCUGUCAUGAGUCUUUCAGUUUUAUUAGAAGACUCAAGACUUAUAAAAUUAUAAAUUCUAGUUAAUUUCAAUUCGGGAGUAAUUUAUAAUGAUUCUUUAGAGUUGUACCAUAUUAGUUUAGUUUUCACUUUUAUGUGUUUUAUUAAAAUAACGUGAUUUUUUUUUGAAGGUAU